rnacentral:rRNA from 1 species
GACGAACGCUGGCGGCGUGCUUAACACAUGCAAGUCGAACGGAAAGGCCCUGCUUUUGUGGGGUGCUCGAGUGGCGAACGGAUGAGUAACACGUGAGUAACCUGCCCUUGACUUUGGGAUAACUUCAGGAAACUGGGGCUAAUACCGGAUAGGAGCUCCUGCUGCAUGGUGGGGGUUGGAAAGUUUCGGCGGUUGGGGAUGGACUCGCGGCUUAUCAGCUCGUUGGUGGGGUAGUGGCUUACCAAGGCUUUGACGGGUAGCCGGCCUGAGAGGGUGACCGGCCACAUUGGGACUGCGAUACGGCCCAGACUCCUACGGGAGGCAGCAGUGGGGAAUAUUGCACAAUGGGCGGACGCCUGAUGCAGCAACGCCGCGUGCGGGAUGACGGCCUUCGGGUUGUAAACCGCUUUCGCCUGUGACGAAGCGUGAGUGACGGUAAUGGGUAAAGAAGCACCGGCUAACUACGUG